rnacentral:rRNA from 1 species
CGGAACGGGCCCCUCCGACCCGUCUAGAAACACGGACCAAGGAGUCUGACACGUGUGCGAGUACCCGGGUGGCAAUCCCGCGUGCGGAAUGAAAGUGAAGGGCACGCCCUGCCAACCGACCUGGACCUUCUGCGAAGGGUUUGAGUGGAGCACACCUGUCGGGACCCGAAAGAUGGUGAACUAUGCCUGGGUAGGGUGAAGCCAGAGGAAACUCUGGUGGAGGCUCGUAGCGAUACUGACGUGCAAAUCGUUCGUCGAACCUGGGUAUAGGGGCGAAAGACUAAUCGAACC